UUAGGAGAAAAAUUACCGAUUCCCUCCAAUCAGAAAACAUUAGGAAAACAUAUUCCUUUUAAUCGAAAGGGAAUAGAAACAAUAGGAUUCUGUGGCCACCAUUAGAAAAACCUAAUAUGCGUGAAGAAAAUCGAUGUCUACCACAGUCUCCGGCCUGCCAUAGUCUCCGGCCAUCUUCUUCCUAGGUAACUUCUCUUCUUCCCAGGUCAUACAGUCUGAUGUUCAAUAAUUUAGCGGGUGGAAGAUUUUAAAAUGAUGAAAAGUUGUGAAAAUCAUUUGAAGACCAACAUUCGUCUAGAUUAGUUAUAUAAUGACAUUAGCUAUUUAGUCCAAACAAUAUAAGUUUAUGUUUUAAGUUACUGUGACAUUAAUAAUUUUGAUUAGUACUUUCUAUUAUUUGUUAAGAUUUAAUGACCUAUGUUAUGGGUUUUUAAUUAAUAUAUUUUAUUAUUUUAAGUA